CCUACGGGUGGCAGCAGUGAGGAAUAUUGGUCAAUGGGCGCGAGCCUGAACCAGCCAAGUCGCGUGAGGGAAGACGGUCCUAUGGAUUGUAAACCUCUUUUGUCGGGGAGCAAAAGACGCCACGCGUGGCGUUACGAGAGUACCCGAAGAAAAAGCAUCGGCUAACUCCGUGCCAGCAGCCGCGGUAAUACGGAGGAUUCGAGCGUUAUCCGGAUUUAUUGGGUUUAAAGGGUGCGCCGGGGGAAGAUCAAGGCGUCGGGAAAAUUGCGGGGCUCAACCUCUUAGAGCCGUUGAAACUGGUGGUCGUGAGUGAGCUAGAAGUAUGCGGAAUGCGUGGUGUAGCGGUGAAAUGCAUAGAUAUCACGAAGAACUCCGAUUGCGAAGGCAGCAUACCGGCGCUCAACUGACGCUCAUGCACGAAAGUGUGGGUAUCGAACAGGAUUAGAUACCCCAGUAGUC
rnacentral:rRNA from 1 species